rnacentral:lncRNA from 1 species
UGUAUUCAUGCAUCCUUUCUUAUUGGCCCACAUCUUGCUCGUUAUGAUAUAGCACAAAAUUGUUAAUCAUCAAUAUAGCAUUGAAACUAUAAUUUCAAUAUCCAUUCUUGCCCAAGAUUCUUUGUAUGCAUGUCGCUUGGAUCAAUUAAGAAAAUUUUAUGAUGACCAUAGUAAAAUGUUUAUGUAAAUAGUUUCAUUAGCUUUCAGAUGGUUGCUUG